ACCUGACUUCUGUUUUCUAUACCUUACUUCCAUUUUCAGUGACUCACUUCUGUUUUUUAUACCUUAUUUCCGUCUUCUGUAUCUUACUUUUCACUACCUCACUUCUGUUUUUCCUAUCUCACUUCCAUUUCCUGUGACUUAUUUCUGUUUUCUCUACCUCACUUCCGGUUAUUAGACCUCACUUCUGUUUUCUUACCUCAUUUUCAUCUUCUGUACAUCACUUGUUUUUCAUGACUCUCUUCGGUUUCCUGUGACUUCUGUUUUCUGUACCUCACUUCUGUUUCCCUAACAUCAUUAGCAUCUUCCGUACCUCAUUUCUAUUUUUCAUAACUGACUUCCGUUUUCUGUGACUUACUUCCGUUUUCUCUACCUCACUUCCGUUUGCUGUACCUCACUUCUGUUUCCUGUAACUUCCGUUUUCACUACCUCAAUUCCGUUUUUUAUACCUUAUUUUUGUCUUCUGUAUCUUAUUUUUUCACUACCUCACUUCCGGUUUUCAUGACUUCCGUUUGUUUUCUCUACUUCACUUCCGGUUUUCAUGACUCACUUCCGUUUGUUUUCUCUACUUCACUUCCGUUUUCCGUACCUCUCUUCUGUUUUCCUAACAUCAUUUGCAUCUUCUGUACCUCACUUCUGUUUUUCAUAACUCACUUCCGUUUUCUGUGACUUACUUCCAUUUUCUCUACCUCACUUCUGUUUUUUCUACCUCACUUCUGUUUUAUGUACCUUACUUCCGUUUUCACUACUUUACUUCCGUUUUUAUACCUUAUUUCCGUCUUCUGUAUCUUACUUUUUCUCUACUUCACUUCUGUUUUUCAUAACUCACUUCCAUGUCCUGUAACUUACUUCCGUUUUCUGUACCUCACUUUCGUUUUCUGUACCUCAUUUCCGUUUUCUGUACCUUACGUUUUCACUACCUCACUUCUGUUUUUCAUGACUCACUUCCGUUUCCUGUACCUCACUUUCAUUUUCUCUACCUCAUUUCCGUUUUAUCUAGCUCACCUCCGUUUUCUAUAUUUUACUUCAGUUUUUACUACCUCACCUCUGUUUUUUACACCUUACUUCAGUCUUCUGUACCCUACUUAACAUUUUCACUACCUCACUUCUGUUUUUCAUAAAUCACUUCCUUUUCCUGUGACUUACUUUGAUUUUCUCUACCUCACUUCUGUUUUCUGUACCUCACUUUUGUUUUCUGUACCUCAUUUCCGUUUUCUGUACCUCAUGUUUUCACUACCUCACUUCUGUUUUUCUUAACUUACUUCCGUUUUCUGUACCUCACUUCCAUUUUCUGAACUUUACUUCCAUUUCCCUUACCUCAUUUUUAUCCUCUGUACCUCACUUCUGUUUUUCAUAACUCACUUCCGUUUCCUGUGACUCACUUCCGUUUUCUAUACCUCACUUCCGUUUUCUGCAUCUCACUUCCGCAAUGGUCCCCACCUUGCCUGGAGACCAAGCUUUCUUUGCAGGCCUCAUCAAGUGUGCUUGUGGCUUCAUCAAUAUGAUCAGGUGCCUCUGGGGGACAGAUUGAAAGUCACACCGAGUCUGCUGGUUCUACACAAGCAGCGAUGAAGUUUGGGUUGACAGAUUCCCAGUGAGAAUGCCGGCAUCUGCUCUUCAACAUCCCAUGGCUGACCAGCUCCUUUACCUGCUAUAUUUUAAAUUUGGAAGCAAUUAAUUUGGAGGAGGAAAGAGUCUAAGUAAGAUGCUUAACAGAUCUUGGUGCGUUGACAACCUUGAAACUUGAUGUUAAUGGACAGGUACAAAGAGGAAGACGAGCUCAACAGUCUCAGUGGUUGAAGCUGCUGCAUGUAAGAUAAGCAUGUGAAAUCCAUGCCAUGUAUACUGCAAAUCCCAAUCCUGUGCACAAAGCAGGCAUUGCUAAGAAGACCCUGCUCUAUUUAAAAAGCCUAGAUGCACUGAUAGAACCCUCAACACAGGACUCCAGCCAUGGACUACCAUUGGGUCAGAGCUGCCAGUCCAGUAGUAGCUUAUGCAUCGUCUACGGCAGAGUGGAAACUCUCCUGCACACGCCAGUCACUCCAAGGGCACUUUCAUUAAAACCACACAAAAUUUUUGUAGAUAACAAUAAACUUGAUUAUGGAUAAAUCAUGAAAUCAAUAAAUAUAGAGUUCCUGGUACUCACCACCACCAC